UGAGUUUGUGCCUCUGGACUGUGGGACCUCAUAUGUGCUUCGGAGUCUUCCUCUUACUCUCCGCCCUCUCCCCCCGACCCCCACCAGCCCUGCAUUCGGAGGAACAGGAAAGCUCGAGGAGACUGGAGGCUUGUCCACACUGAGCCUCCAUCAAUUCAUCAAAACAGGUGAGUUUUCCUGCUCUGGCACUCGUUCCCAUGGAGAUUGCUGCUCAUGGUUUUCUGCUCUGGGCGACAGAGCACAGGGAGCAGACCCCGGGCAGUCAGCACACCCAGCGCCUCAAUCCGGGGACACGCAACAACGUUGCACAAACAAUGAGGCAUUGUCAGGGGCCUGAGGGGACUCCAGCCUCCAACAGUAAAAUCACAUCCCCUCCAACUUUGUUAGUUCAUUGCUGUUUUCUGUGUGCUGGGUUAACUGCAGCAGCUGGACCACAGGGGCAGUCACUGUCCCCCCGCCCCCAUCUUAGGGACCAUGUUUCUUCUUUCUGCCCUGCCACCAUCCCUGCACCAGGGUAAAUUUGCUAACUUGCAGGAAAACUUCCAAUUAAACAAAACAAAACAAAAUCCUACCCCCUACCCCCAUUCCUCAAAAUUCCUUGAAGAAUUUCAAAUUCAAGCCGCAGCACCUAUUAAAAACAGUCCCAGCUGACUGCGAUGCACAGGCCAGGACUGACAGCCCUGAAUAUUAUCUCUACAUAUUAUAUAGAAGUUGCUACACUAGAAUAAUACUUUGCAAAUGCUGGGUUAGUUUGAAUGUGGACUAGAUAUUAGAUGACAUUAUGAAAUGAUCGGUGACUUUCUCAGGUGUGAUGGCAGCCCUGUGGUUUAGGAAAAGAGAAAUACACACUCAUAGAGACAGAGAAAUCAUAUAGAGCAAAGCGGAAAUCACUGAAUCUACAUGGAGGCUAUGUGGGUGUUCAUUUCACUAUUAUUCCAACUUGUUGCUUACUUCGAACAUUUUCAUAACAAAAAGUUGAAAUAAGGAAACAAACACAUAUUGUUAUUAUUGCUGUUAUAAAAUAUUUAUUAUAACUACUAUUUAUAACAAGGAGAAAAAUUUAAAUCUUUACGACCCAAAGAUUUCCCAUGUCAAGAUAUGCUAAUCAUUCAGAAUUCUAAGAGAAGAUUAACCCAGAAAGUGACCCCAAAAAGUGUGCUCUGGGGUGACGGUGGGGAUGUGAGGCUCUUUCUCUGUGGGGUCGGGUGUCCUUUGUACAGACUUCGGGGAAAGCAGGUCAGGAAUGUUCGUCAAAAGCAUUUCCCCAGCGAUUUCACUGCUAAGAUUUAAGCCUGAGCAAGUAAGCAAACGAAGAGGGCUAAGAUAUAUACAUAAGGAUGUUCAGAGUAGCGCAGUUUAUAAAAGAAAAAACAGCUGGCCACCAACCAACCAUCUCUCGCUCGGGGUCUGACAUAGCCACAUGGGGGACAAAGACUAAGGCUCAGCCGUCACAGUUUAGGACAGAGGUCUGCAAUUUAGGAUAGCGGUCUCUGUGUGGUAACCUGCGGGCAUAUGUCCACAGCUGAGAAAUGCAGGUUAGGUGGAGACAGGCAGACAGAUACAGACAGGGAGACAGUAUACAUUUACCUUUUUUUUUUUUUGAUCUUUGGUCUUUGUUUCCAGAAAAAAUUUUAAUGGUCAUUUAUUUCUUUUGUAAUUAGUGGGGAAACCCAUUUGGGAACUAAAGGGACCCAUGUCUGGUGACCCAGAGUUAAUCAGUGGGGCACAGCACUUGUCACACGACCCUGCCUGUCCCCAAGGAGGGGAAGGACCGUUCUUGCCAGUUUCCUGGUCACAGGCCCUGGGGGAACACAGGAACCAGGACCCCCCUUCCGGGGACCAGAGAGCGAACCCAGCCACCCAGCCCUCAGGCUCCUUGGGAAGAAGAAAGAGCCUGCGGCGUCAUCCUCCCCUCCUCCCUCCUGGCUGCCAGGCUGCAUUUCAUAGUUUGACUGAAAGUGUGCCAUCCAGUCUGUCUCUCCACAAACAAACGGAAUAUUCUGAGCUUCCAGCAUUUGGAGGCACACAGCUUGCAUCUUUUUACGAAGAAAAAUAAACACUGUGUCUGGUAACAACCGAGUCCUGACGGAGAAAACACGCCUGCAUCCAAAUCGACCCGAGCAGCCCGGGCCGCAGACUCCAGGCAGCAAAGGGACUAAGGAGAUCAGGUCCACCAUCUACCCUGGAGACUGGAGGGCGCUGGGGUCGUCAGCUUUCCUGCAGGGUCCAUCCACGUCCCUGAUCGCCUUCCGCGUAAAGACAGGAGAAGGUAACCCCCUCUCUGGACUCCCUUCUCAUCUUUGGCUGAUACUCUUUUGCAGGCAGCUCACUGCUGACGCUAGAGAGCUGUGCUCACCGUUCCUCUCAAGAGCAGCUUCCGCAGGAGCUACCUGCGGGCGCAUCCCCGUCCGUCCUGAGCGGGAGCUCUGUGUGCGGUGCCCGCAGAGAACGCAUCUUCCUCCGGCCCGCACAGCCAUGCCUGAGCCCAGGCCUCCCUCUGCUGACCUCUCCGGUCUUCUCGUUCCCUCUUUCCACGUUCUGCACUGACCAGACUGAGCACCUGUAGCUUCUCCCAGACCUUGUGCCUGUCCCCCUCCAGACUUCUGUACAUUCUCUUCCUGCUGCUCAGAGUCCUCUUCCCUGGCUUCAGAGUCUGAAGUUCAUUCCGCAGGUCACAGCUUAGUCAUAAAUUCCUCCAGAAAGGCUGGCCUAACCACACAAGCCCAGGUGAGAUGCCGGUCCCCUGAGCUCCCUUUGUCCACCCCAGCCUGCUUAACCUUCGUUCAUUGGUGCUCUUGCCCGCAUCCCCUCCAUCAAUGACUCGAGACUAAAGCUGGACCAGCAGACAAAGCAAGUGGAUCUGGAUACAAACGGCAGCAAUAGACAGGAGCCACGUUCUUGUAAUAAGAGGGCUUCCUUCUUGUAAGGAUAAACCGAUUUAACUGUCCCCUGGCACCAGGAUCACCCGAUGGGAUAUUUUUGAGACUUUCUUUCACAAAGAGAAGUCAUUGGGAUAUAGUUGCUAAAUGAACAGUGAGAGGAAGAGGGGAGGAAACUGAGUCCAUCUCCAGAUUUUGCAUGAUAGCCAAGAAAUUACCAUCCACCCCCACCAAAGCUCACCAACACCCUUCCCCUGACAGCAAUGGGCCACGAGAUUUCCACACCAGGCUCUGAAAGCAGGGUCUCUCCAACGGGUGCCUGUUUCCCUGCCUUCUGCCUGGGGGUUUCCUAUAAAAGCAUCACAUGUCCCUGAAAAUGAUAAUCAACUGUCUCCAGGCUCCUGUUAUAAACAGAGACAGCCAGGCCAUGAUGGGGAAGCCAUUGUCUUGCACCUAAAUGCCAAAGCUGGCCAGGGCUGUCCUGGGGGGAGUGCGAACCUUCCUCAGUCCCCAGUCAGCACAUGGACUAUGUCAGGACCUCAUUCAUCUGCAAAUAAAGCCUCCAUUUACUGAAGAGAUAUGGAUUCCUGCUCCCAAGGGAACAGAGCAAAUCAUAGUCAUGUCAUUCCUCCUCCUUCACCACACUGUGACUUUAUUUCUUUGGGGUGCUCUUCCUCACUCAAAGGCCAUAGGCCAGAGAAGCUGGGGAGACCUUGGUAACAGGUGUUCCUAAGUAAACAAUGGGGGUAAGUCAAACAUGGUAAAGGAAAAAAACAAUGUCAAAGGACAAGAGAGACAGGAACGAAUACUCAUUUAACCUAGUAUGUGCCGUGCACCAUAACACUCAUUAUCUUAGGGCCCACAGCAGUCUUCUGCGAUAGGUAUUACCAUGUAACAAAUGAGAUGAUCGAAAAUCAGAGAGGUUCAGUAAUUUGUCCAAGGUCAUACAGCAGAGGCAGGUAAUCCCAAUAGGAUCACCUUUUUUUUUUUUUCUUUCUCUCCUCACUUUCAUGGGGCUGGGCUUCUGCUCCUCUGCAGUGCGAAGUCCAUCUGUUAUCAGAAGACCCCUCCCCCCCAGCCACCAGCUCACUCGCUCCCAUCUAGGCCACUGGCUUGUGGGAACCUUCAUGUCUGUUUGACAAACUGCAGGAGAGAACGCUGCUCCAGGCCCUGGUCAAGCUGCAAAGCUUUUUGGAAUGAAGAGUUUAAAACUCACCUUUUUGAAUGAUCUCAACUCUGAGAGAAACAGUUACAAACCAGAAUUCUUUGGCUGUGAUCUGUUGGACUAUCUGGACACUUUCCCCAGCAUGUGACAUCAUUUUCCUUCCAGAUUUCAAUGUUAAAAAUAGCCUGGCAAACCCUUUGUACUAUUGUCUCCUUCAAACACAAUAUGGAUUGUGUGUGUUGUUUACCACUUGAAAGAAAUGCUUUGUGACACGAGAUAUGUGGACAGGCUGUUCCAGUGGCCAAGGGGACCCAGAGACUCGGACUUACACUGAACACUCACGCACCUGCACGCACGCACAUAGGCUGCGCUAACCUAGUUCAGCCUUCAAACAACCGGCUGCUAAGUCUCCUUCAAACAACCCUGUGAGGUGAUCAAAUUGACCAAAACUCGGCAGGAAGCCCCAUUUUCUCUCUCCCAUUUGUGUAGCUCAGGCAAGAGCUUGAUCAGGAAGAAUUUAAAAAUUUUUUAAAUUUUUAUUGAAGUUGAUUUACAGUGUGUUG